AAAAAGAAACACUGAGGUGUAUAGAAACGACGUUGUUGUUGUUGUCGUUUUAGACACAGACAUCACCUCCUAAUUUCUAGGUCCGAGGUAUAAGGAAACACUGAGGUUUAGAUUCGUUGCGUCUUUCAUUUCACUCCUCACGUAAAUAUCAUCAUCAUUUUCUAAAGGGUUUCUUCAUUUUUCAGGUAUCAUCAUCUUUCCAACAAUUCCAGGUUAUCCCUUAUUAGUUAUGGCAGUAAAACCGACAGUUGCAUUUAGAGCCAUCCUUGUUGGAGGCAUAGCGGCAUUUGCUAAAAUAGCAGGUGCAAUGAAGGCAGCAGGUGGUGUAAAGAUGGGUGCGGCUGCAGCUGCCAUGACAGCAGCAGCAACUGCAGCUAUUACUGGUUCAAAACAAGAGCAAACCGAUGCUUCUCAACAGCCUUCAAAAUAAAUAUAUUUUCGAAAGUUUAUGUAGCAUAGUUCAAUAUUCACUAUUCGGUUAGUUGAGCCGAAAGAUAAGAGACCGUAUGCGAUGGUAAUGUAUUAACCACUUCAAGCCUUUGUUGUAAGAUUUCAUUAGAUAUGUAAAGUUCCUGAAGUUUUAGAUGAAGCUAUGGAUUUUUGAGACAAAGCUAAACUCCAACUGAGUAAUUUUGAAUUAGAUUUUCAAAAUCUAUUUUUGCCAAGACAAUCCAACUGAGUUUGGCUUGUUGGAGAAAAAUUGCAUCAUCAAUAAGGCAAGAUCCAUUUAUUGGACUGUAUUAUUUUUCAA